UACAGAGGGUGCGAGCGUUAAUCGGAAUUACUGGGCGUAAAGCGCGCGUAGGCGCUUUUCAAGCCGAUUGUGAAAUCCCCGGGCUUAACCUGGGAACUGCAGUCGGGACUGUCUAGCUAGAGUAUGGGAGAGGGAAGUGGAAUUUCAGGUGUAGCGGUGAAAUGCGUAGAUAUCUGAAGGAACAUCAGUGGCGAAAGCGACUUCCUGGACCAAUACUGACGCUCAUGUGCGAAAGCGUGGGGAGCAAACAGG
rnacentral:rRNA from 1 species